rnacentral:rRNA from 1 species
GGCAGCAGCCGCGGUAACACCGGCGGCCCGAGUGGUGAUCGUGAUUAUUGGGUCUAAAGGGUCCGUAGCCGGUUAGGUCAGUCCUCCGGGAAAUCUGAUAGCUCAACUAUUAGGCUUUCGGGGGAUACUGCCAGACUUGGAACCGGGAGAGGUAAGAGGUACUACAGGGGUAGGAGUGAAAUCUUGUAAUCCCUGUGGGACCACCUGUGGCGAAGGCGUCUUACCAGAACGGGUUCGACGGUGAGGGACGAAAGCUGGGGGGCACGAACCGGAUUAGAUACCCGGGUAGUCCCAGCCGUAAACGAUGCUCGCUAGGUGUCAGGCAUGGCGCGACCGUGUCUGGUGCCGCAGGGAAGCCGCGAAGCGAGCCACCUGGGAAGUACGGCCGCAAGGCUGAAACUUAAAGGAAUUGGCGGGGGAGCACAACAACGGGUGGAAGCCUGCGGUUUAAUUGGACUCAACGCCGGACAACUCACCGGGGGCGACAGCAAUAUGUAGGCCAAGCUGAAGACUUUGCCUAGAAUCGCUGAGGGGAGGUGCAUGG